rnacentral:rRNA from 1 species
AUUGAACGCUGGCGGCAGGCCUAACACAUGCAAGUCGAGCGAGCGGCGGACGGGUGAGUAAUGUCUGGGAAACUGCCUGAUGGAGGGGGAUAACUACUGGAAACGGUAGAUAAUACCGCAUCCCAUUAGAUGUGCCCCAAUGGGAUUAACUAGGAGGUGGGGUAAUGGCUCACCUAGGCGACGAACCCUAGCUGGUCUGAGAGGAUGACCAGCCACACUGGAACUGAGACACGGUCCAGACUCCUACGGGAGGCAGCAGUGGGGAAUAUUGCACAAUGGGCGCAAGCCUGAUGCAGCCAUGCCGCGUGUGUGAAGAAGGCCUUCGGGUUGUAAAGCACUUUCAGCGAGGAGGCGUUACUCGCAGAAGAAGCACCGGCUAACUCCGUGCCAGCAGCCGCGGUAAUUC